rnacentral:rRNA from 1 species
GACGUAGGGCGCGAGCGUUGUCCGGAUUUAUUGGGCGUAAAGAGCUCGUAGGCGGCUUGUCGCGUCGUCCGUGAAAACCCGGGGCUCAACUCCGGGCUUGCGGGCGAUACGGGCAGGCUAGAGUUCGGUAGGGGAGACUGGGAUUCCUGGUGUAGCGGUGAAAUGCGCAGAUAUCAAGUGGAACACCAGUGGCGAAGGCGAGUCUCUGGACAUUUCCUGACGCUGAGGCACGAAAGCCAGGGGAGCAAACGGG